ensembl:lincRNA
AUGGGGCAGACAGCCUCCAGGGAGGCUGUGCCUAGGAGAAGCCCGUGCUCCCGGUGGGCAAGUGGACCGUCUCCAAAAUGCAGACCUCUCCUCACUUUGAGUUCUGGAGCACAAGAAAGCAGAACGUUUUCACUUGCCAAGGAGAAUCCGAAAUUCUACGGGACGGUGAAUCAGGUGUCACAUCCAACAACAAGACGACUCCACUUCCACACGUGGGGGUGUCUAGGUUCGCAGAGGCCAGGGAACACGAGGCACAAGCAGCCUCCGUCCCUCCCGCUCAUCCAGCCCUUCCCACAUCUACCUGGGCAGAGCAUCCCGCUCCUCGCCCCUCCUCCCUCCUGCUCCCCUCCUCCCCGCUGCCUCCAAUUCUGGCUCAUUCCCUUCCAGAUCAUCCCUCAGAAUGCUCUCCAACUCUUGCUGCCGCCUCUGCUCCAGACCCUCCCUAUCCCAUCCCCUCCACCUCUCCCUCCUCCUCUCCAUCUGAUUUUUCCUCUUUCUCCUUCGUAUUUUGCCAAGCGCCCCCCUCAGCCUAUCUACAAGCCUGAUAUGGACCAGAUUCUUUUCCUCCCCUCUCCCUCUCCCAGCCCCGGCCCCGUCAGCUCUGCACCCUGCCCACGGGUCCUCCUUUGCCUGAGUGCAGAGGUGGCAUCUGGGUGGAGCGGGUGAAGGGCAGGGCCCUGUAGGUCAGCUCUCCCGCUAUGCCCUAGGCCUGGCUGUCAGAUUGGGAGCGGGUGACACAGGGCUGUCUGGAGCCCACACAGAGUCCCUUCACGCUGUGUCUGCUUGUCACAGUUAGGACAAGCUCUCCUGAAUUGCAGACUCUGCUUGUGACAAGGGAGGAAGAGGAUGUAAGUAAUGAUGACUGGCCCCGUGGACUCCAUCCAAAAGUGAAGACCUCCCCCUGCUGCUCCGGGGCUAUGACCUGGGCCGUGAGGUGACCCAAAUGGACCCAGCUACCCACAGCAGACAGCAGCCAGAACCUCUGGGAGAAAAGGACCCGUCUGAGAAGACCGGCAGCCCAGAAGGCAGGACCACCCCGGCCAGGCUGGCUCCUGCACGCAGGACUCACACAGCUCGUGCCACUUCUGUGCCCAGCUCUUGGGUCACCAUUGACCUCCUGAGGUUGGGCAUCCGGAAUGGAAACCUCCAGGGAACAGGCCUGCACCCCUGCCAGGCAGGGCUGAGCAGCCUGCCGCUUCGUGAUGUGAGCCGACAAAAAGCGGGCAGUCUUAACUCACUAGAGAAACGAGACCCACGUAUCAUAUUUAAGAGUUAUUUUAAAAAUCACAUCUGACAAGCAAAUGAUCCUGAGAUCCAAGGAAGAUAAGCUUGACGUCGAUGAACACAUUCGCCCUUUAAAGCAAGUGCCCUGUGCCAAAGCCCUGCUCCCUCAGUCCUGUGCUAGGCUGGCAUCGGGGAGCAGGCACAGAUCGGGGCACAGGGGCCCUGGCUCCCCACAGGCCACGAGAGGGUGUGUUCACCAUCCUGGGCUCCUGGGUCUCUGAGCACAGGGCCUGGAGCAGACACUUAAGCAGGACGUAAGCCUCUCACUGGACAGACUGCCCAGGUCCCAGAGGAAGCCCAAGGAGACAAAAUGAAGAAGGGGGCAGCUGGGCAGUGGGACCAGAGCCACAGACCAGUAAGUUCUACAGCGCUCCUUGUAGUGUGUGUUUCUACACUGCAUGCUCACCACCUGUGAAACAGGUAGUGGUGACCCUCUCAGCUGGGAGAGACCCAAACCCCUGCGAAGCAUCUCGCACCCAGACCAGCUUUACCAUGAAAAAUGUGAGGAUGGCCAGCCUGGGCAGAAGCAGCUCCCAGAAGAAGGAAAAGACACGCUGUAUCUCAGGGACGAAGCGGGAGUGGGGCCCAGAGCACCCUAGUUAUGGAACCUACUUGGUGGGGCCUUUCCUGAAGGCUUUCUAGGAAAAACAGCACAGCAGAUUUCAGGGCCAAGGCGCAGUAUCAAAAGUGGAGGGUCUCUCUUGCUUGAAAUAAAACCUCACUGUGGCU